CACGUAGGGUCCGAGCGUUGUCCGGAAUUACUGGGCGUAAAGCGCGCGCAGGCGGUCGGGUUCGUCGCUGGUGAAAGCCCCACGCUCAACGUGGGAAGGUCCGGCGAGACAGCCCGACUGGAGGCAGGGAGAGGUCGGUGGAAUUCCGGGAGUAGUGGUGAAAUGCGUAGAGAUCCGGAGGAACACCAGAGGCGAAGGCGGCCGACUGGACCUGACCUGACGCUGAGGCGCGAAGGCGUGGGGAGCGAACGGG
rnacentral:rRNA from 1 species